UGGUAAGAGGAGCAUGUAGGGCGAUUCAUGGAGCAGGGUGUGAGCAGCACUGAAGUACACCAACUCAUACAGAGGCAGAAGAUAUUGUGUCACCAGACUGUUGAUGAAGUUCGUGAGGUCAGUGAUCUACCAACAAGGGGAUACUUGGGAAAAGAUUCCACAAUUCUGCACCUUCUCCCACACUCCAGCCACGGGUACCGAAUGGCCCAAGAAGCAUUAGUAGAAAUAUACUUCCAUCAAGAUUGACAGUCUCAGGAGAAACCAAGAUGGUGGCAUGGGUAAGCACCGGAGAGUGCUGCCUCGUACAACCACUUCAAAAAUACAACUAAAAGACGGAAUGGACAUCACCCAGAACCACAGGAAGGCUGGCUGAGUGGUAAUUCCACAACUAGAAGGAAAGAGAAAAGCAUACCGAGAC